rnacentral:rRNA from 1 species
UACGAGGGGGGCAAGCGUUGUUCGGAAUUAUUGGGCGUAAAGGGUGCGUAGGCGGUCCUACAAGUCUGAUGUGAAAUCUCUGGGCUCAACCCAGAGUCUGCAUCGGAAACUGUAGGGCUUGAGUAUGGGAGAGGUGAGUGGAAUUUCCGGUGUAGCGGUGAAAUGCGUAGAUAUCGGGAGGAACACCUGUGGCGAAAGCGGCGCACUGGACCAUAACUGACGCUGAGGCGCGAAAGCUAGGGGAGCAAACAGG